rnacentral:lncRNA from 1 species
AAACAAACAAACAAACAAACAAACAAACAAACAAACAAACAAACAAACAAACAAACAAACAACAAACAAACAACAAACAAACAACAAACAAACAACAAACAAACAACAAACAAACAAACAACAAACAAACAACAAACAAACAACAAACAAACAAACAACAAACAAACAAACAACAAACAAACAACAAACAAACAACAAACAAACAACAAACAAAC